GUGAUGUUUCCAAGGAUCAACACAGGCUUAAAAAAAAGAAAAGAAUUUAUAGAUUUUAUAUUUUUGUACAGAUAUUUCAACUAGCUUCUUCAAACUUCUAUGUGACUUAUUGUUAACUUGUAGUUUCUAUGAUUGGGGGGAAUACAAAUGCGUGUGCAGUUUGGCUCACGAGAGUCUGCUUUUAGUCAGUGUUAAAGUACCAAUGAAAAGCUUUAUCUCUUGAUGAGAAAGUUGUUUAUGUCAAGACAGGAUCAUUAUCUGGUUUCAUGAAUGCCUUUCCUCCCAAUUGUUUGAUAGACAGGUGACUACAUAACACUAUUUAUGAAGGAUACCAAAUAAUUCAGAUGCAGCUCCAAGUAAAUACAAAAAUCUCAUUAUUCCCCCUCCAAUUCUUUACAUGCACCUUACAGUGCGAUUCCUUAUAUCUAAAUGGACAUUGGGAAUUGCUACAUUCCUGUAAUAGGCAAGCAAUGCAUUCUUUAAAAAAAAGAAAGAUUGAGGAAGAUGUAGCUCCCACUGUAGAGUUGUACUACCCCAAAGCUUUUUUUGCUCUUUCUGCCUGCACUGCUGCUUAUUGCUAUCUACCUUUUCAAAAAUUGAUUUAAAGUAUUUGCAUAAUUUCAGCACAAAUUUGCAUGUCAUGAUGGAGCUGCUGCUUUUUUCUUUUUAAGCGUCAAGCCUGCAAUAGUUCUGGCAUAUCAGAAAUGUAUCUCAUUUAACGCUGGUUAUAGAGCUGUGUCCAAGUAUUUUACAUCAGCCUAUUCUGAUAUACUGAAAUAGUGUUGAGCUUCAUUGAAGGAUGGUGUUUAAAUAUGAUUCAUGCUAAGAUUCUAACACUGGAUCAGAAGAGCGUGGAUAGGAUAGUUACAGUGGGAUACAUCUGUUUUGCAAUCAGGACUUGUGCAGCAAGACAAACCGACAGUAAGAUACAAUACCCCUUUGUAGUAAUUCAGGCUUCUCGGAGCUAAUCCUGCAUUUGCAGCCUUUUUUGUGCAUGUCUGAAAACCAGAAUAUGAUUUUGGUCUAGCAUUGAAAAGAGACUUUGAAUCUUUUUAGUGGAUUCCACACCCUUGCAUUUCAGUGUUUUCUAUGUAUUAAGUUAUAGUCUAAAAGCUUUGAAAUAGUUGAGCUUUUUAAUGGUGACACUUUAUUUUGUAUCUAUUUAUAUAUGUAUGUAUAUCUUAGAAAAGCACUUUGUUUAAAAAAGAAAAAAAAAGAUAUUGCAUUUUAUAUGAUUCCUGCCAUUUGCUGCUAACUCUGGGCUGGUCAGAAUGCUGCAGCGAUACUUGAUCUAAAUAAAACCUGGCAGUAAAAUGUAGAGUAAAGUUAAGACCUUUGCUGGUUUAACCUUUAUUGUAAAGAUGACAUAGGCAAGCUGUGCAGCUUUACAUUUUAACCAGGGGACUCUGUGGCAUUUAAAACAGUCUAGAAAAUGGUUGUACUUUUAAUGCCAGUAACAAUCUGCUUCCUCUAGUGUCAUUUAAUAUACGUUUAGUGUAUAAUUAUCACAAAGAUUUUUAAAAAACCAAAUGUUCAUGUUUUGUUUUGGGAAAUUGUGGCAUGCAUUUUUGGAUGAUUAUCUUUAGAGGAGCUCUCUAAAGGUUUUCAGUGUUCAUACACAGUAUGUGGAUCUUAUUGAAGUCUUUGGUCACUUUACAAGUGUAGGCAUUGUGAAUAUUCUCAUGUCAUCCAGAAGCAAUUAUACACUUUAUUUUUUAAAAGGAGUUCCGAACUCUCUUUCAUACACUGGAUACUUUAGAGUUUGUUUCCAUAUUAAAACAUGCUCUUGCUAAAAAAAUUGUCAGUCUGAAACUGAGUGCCACACUUCUAUUUUUGAAUGGAUAUGAACUACUUACUCUGUACCAUGUAUGGUUCUUGUCCUUUACCCAUUUUCUCCAUUGACAGAUUAUGAUGUGGCUUUAUAUUGUGCCUUACUUGUAUAUUAGAACCAAGUUUAUUUUUCAUUCCCCAGGACUCCUUAAACCCUUGAACCCUUUUGGAAGCAAACUACAAUAAAAGCAUCAUGAAGGAACUUCAGACAGAUUUGCUUAGUUGUAUUGAUUAGUUUGUACUGGCAUAGGGUGACCAAUUUUUCAGUGGUCUUGGAAGAUAGGAUUUUUUAUAGUAAUUCCACUACAUCUCUUUACAAAAGCUUCUCUGCCUUUUCUUGAAUUUAUCAAGCACACCUUGAUAUUUAACUUUCUGGGGCUCAUAAGUACUAGUCUUCUGGCUAGUCAAGGACUGGCUCUUUCCACUCAACUCUGGCAUCAAUGCAAACAGUGACACUGUUGUAGGAAUUGGGCACAGAGAUAUACUAAGUCCACUAGUUUGGUCAGUAAUUUAUUUUUAAAUGUAGACUGAAGUGCAGUGGAAAAGAGCAAAAAUGAUUUCUAACACAGAUUAAAGGUCUCUUGAAUAAUCUUAAAGCAACAGACAUUUCUCAAAUACCGUACUGUCAGUGUGGGUUUCACAUAAGUCUAUACCAUUUUUCUGAUGUUUGCCUUCAUUAAUAAAUCUGCGUGUUUAUUCACAAAUGUCAAUAAUGAUGUAUUGUUUCUCUUAUGUAAGUCUUUUUAAUACAGCUAGUUUUGAAAUGGUAAUCACCUCCUAUCUGUGUUUGAUGGGUUUACUUACAAGUUGCCUUCAGCAGAAAUAGCAUAGCCAGUCUGUUCCUUGACUUAUUUAGCAGUCUUCCUGGAAUUCUGUUGAGGCACAGUCAAAAUACAUAAUAUUGAAAUUCAGCCUUCUGACUUGAAUUUCAUACAUCUAAUCAUGCUUUCUUAUUUUUCUUUUUUCUUUUGUAGGGUAAGGUUUAGCUGUCAAAUUGUCUAGUUUAGUCUGCUAUCAGAUGGGAGCCUAUAUUUUCGCUAGCUGAAAUGCUGCACAAAAGUGCAGUUUCUUAUUUUGUUUUACCUGAGGGAUUAUACAAAGUACAUUUCAAUCAGUUCCUAAUCCAAAAGCUGAUCCUUUCCUUUGAAAAAAAAAUGUUUAAGGGCAUUACCACAUUGAGAGUACAACGCUUAGUGAUACUUUCCAGUGUAAAUGGAAUGCUUUGUCAACAUUGCAGAAAUGGCACUUUAGCAUAUACUUCCUUCACAGCAUUCUAAGCUUGAUUGGGUCUCAUGGAUACGUAUUUUCAGUCUAUUUAAUUUCCCCCAAUUGGUUUAGUGCAGUAGAAAGGUGUUUGUGCAAUGUGAUGCUCAGCCUUUUAAGAUGUUAAUGAACUUCCACAAGAGCAUAUUGGUCAUGCAUUUUUUUCUCCAUAAACCGAAACACACUUUAUUGGAAGUAAGCCCUAUUUGUUCUGGUGAAACUUCAGUUUAGGAUUGCAGACUUAAUCUUUCUGGAAAGCAAGUUUAAGCCAAAGCUAGGCCUAGCUAAGAAACGAGAAGAAGAAAAUAAUUGUCUUGUGAGACCAGGCCAAAGCUUCUUCUAACCCAUCAUUAUCUUCAGAGGCUAACAAGAUGCCUCAUUUCCCAACAGCUUUCCAUGAACUAGGGAAUAAUGAAACAAUUCACUUUUACAGAAGUAUAAUGCAUGAAUAGUUUUCGCUCUCUCUUCUCCUGCCUUAAACAUUCUCAACACCUUUUGGCCCAUAUAUAUACUUAAGAAUGAACAAAGUCUGCAAUUCUAACCUAACUUAACUGCUAGCAGGGCCAACUCUCAUUGCAAUCAAUGGGACUUGCUUCCAAAUGAAUGGGUUUAGGUUGGAGCACAAGGCUGACAGCAUAUGCAAACACAGCAAAGCUUUCUGAAAACCAAAAAAAAAGCAUAUUAACAACCUUGGUGAUCUUAUGCUUGGGAUCAUGUUUGUAAUGCUGUUUAUAAUGUUCUGUAGUCCAUUUCCAACUGGAGCUCAGACAAAUGUAUUGAAGGUCUUGUCUCUGUUCAGAAAAUUUUAUCCUGUUAAAAGCAUGAUCUGUUUGCAAUUUUUAUAAUGUUUAAUGUUGUGUAAUUUUUCUUUUUUUUAAAAAAAGAGGCACAAUUAAAACAUUGAUUUUGUUUACUCCUGUCACCCUGGGGCCCGAGCACUUCUAUUCAGAUACAAACUCAUCAAUGUAUGCAACAUCCUUUGUAACUGAAAAUAAAUUGUGAAGAGAAGUUCUGACAGUAU